AUUGAACGCUGGCGGCAUGCUUUACACAUGCAAGUCGAACGGCAGCGCGGGCUUCGGCCUGGCGGCGAGUGGCGAACGGGUGAGUAAUAUAUCGGAACGUACCCAGGAGUGGGGGAUAACGUAGCGAAAGUUACGCUAAUACCGCAUACGUCCUAAGGGAGAAAGUGGGGGAUCGCAAGACCUCAUGCUCAUGGAGCGGCCGAUAUCUGAUUAGCCAGUUGGUGGGGUAAUGGCUCACCAAGGCGACGAUCCGGAACUGGUCUGAGAGGAUGAUCAGUCACACUGGAACUGAGACACGGUCCAGACUCCUACGGGAGGCAGCAGUGGGGAAUAUUGGACAAUGGGCGAAAGCCUGAUCCAGCCAUGCCGCGUGUGUGAAGAAGGUCUUCGGAUUGUAAAGCACUUUAAGUCGGGAGGAAGGGCUGUAGGUUAAUACCCUGCGGUUUUGACGUUACCGACAGAAUAAGCACCGGCUAACUUCGUGCCAGCAGCCGCGGUAAUAC
rnacentral:rRNA from 1 species